UACGAAGGGUGCAAGCGUUACUCGGAAUUACUGGGCGUAAAGCGUGCGUAGGCGGUUCGUUAAGUCUGAUGUGAAAGCCUUGGGCUCAACCUGGGAAUGGCAUUGGAUACUGGCGGCCUAGAGUGCGGUAGAGGGGUGUGGAAUUCCCGGUGUAGCAGUGAAAUGCGUAGAUAUCGGGAGGAACAUCUGUGGCGAAGGCGACACCCUGGACCAGCACUGACACUGAGGCACGAAAGCGUGGGGAGCAAACAGG
rnacentral:rRNA from 1 species